UACGGAGGGUGCAAGCGUUAUCCGGAUUCACUGGGUUUAAAGGGUGUGUAGGCGGGCAGUUAAGUCAGUGGUGAAAUCUCCGGGCUCAACCCGGAAACUGCCAUUGAUACUAUCUGUCUUGAAUAUCGUUGAGGUAGGCGGAAUAUAUCAUGUAGCGGUGAAAUGCAUAGAUAUGAUAUAGAACACCGAUUGCGAAGGCAGCUUGCUAAACGAUUAUUGACGCUGAGGCACGAAAGCGUGGGGAUCAAACAGG
rnacentral:rRNA from 1 species